GACAGUGGUAGCUCAGUGGUUAGGACAUUGAAGUACUGCUCGGAGGGUCGUGAGUUCAAAUCCCAGCCCUGUCG